AAAGCGCGCGUAGGUGGUUUGUUAAGUUGGAUGUGAAAGCCCCGGGCUCAACCUGGGAACUGCAUCCAAAACUGGCAAGCUAGAGUAUGGUAGAGGGUGGUGGAAUUUCCUGUGUAGCGGUGAAAUGCGUAGAUAUAGGAAGGAACACCAGUGGCGAAGGCGACCACCUGGACUGAUACUGACACUGAGGUGCGAAAGCGUGGGGAGCAAACAGGAUUAGAUACCCGAGU
rnacentral:rRNA from 1 species